rnacentral:rRNA from 1 species
AUUGAACGCUGGAGGUAUGCUUAACACAUGCAAGUCGAACGCGAACGUUCCUUCGGGAAUAAGUAGAGUGGCGGACGGGUGAGUAACGCGUAGGAAUCUACCUAAGUGUGGGGGAUAACAUGAAGAAAUUCAUGCUAAUACCGCAUACGCCCCACGGGGUAAAGAGGGCCUCUUCUUGAAAGCUCUUGCAUUUAGAUGAGCCUGCGUCGGAUUAGCUAGUUGGCGGGGUAAUGGCCCACCAAGGCGACGAUCCGUAGCUGGUCUGAGAGGAUGAUCAGCCACACUGGGACUGAGACACGGCCCAGACUCCUACGGGAGGCAGCAGUGGGGAAUAUUGGACAAUGGGCGCAAGCCUGAUCCAGCAAUACCUCGUGUGUGAAGAAGGCCCUAGGGUUGUAAAGCACUUUCAAUUGGGACGAAGGGAGUAAGUUUAAUACGCUUAUUUCUUGACGGUACCUUUAGAAGAAGCACCGGCUAACUCCG